CCGGGCCGCACGCAUGCCAGACGAGCGCGCUACCGCUUGAGCCACAUCCCCAGCCCAGGAAUAUAUAUUUUUAUAUGGAGGCCUGGGAUCCAACCCAGGGGCGCUUCAUCACUUAGCCACAUCUCCAGCCCUUUUUAUUUUUUAUUUUGAGACAAGAUCUCAUUAAGUUGCUGAGGCUGGCCUUGAACUCGUGAUCCUCCUGUCUCAGCCUCUCUAGUCACUGGGAUUACAGGAGUGUGCCACCAAGCCUAGUAAGGAUAGAUUUUUCAGAAGAAAUAAUCUGAUUAAUGAGUAGGAAUUAGCUAGAAAAAUGGUGGGAAAUAUUCCAGGACUGGAGGGAGAGAUUUCAUAGAACAUACAGGCAACAAUACAGCAUGCUGGUUUAGUGUUGCUUGACAAGAGCGCUAAGGAGAAAGAAGAGACUUAAAGAUUUUAUAGAUUUUAAAAAAGAUUGCUCAGGAACCAUAACUCUGUAUCAUGAAAAAUAAUAAGUUUACUUCCUAAUGUUAAGGUAAGAGGUGGCAUUGGCAAAAUUUGGGCCCCAAAUUAAUUGGAGAGAGUCUACAUCUUAAUCUCAUUCACUUUACAUAUUUCUUUUUCCCAAAGAUAAUCACAGAUCAUCUCUGGCACCAAACUCCUCUGGCCCUCUUCCACUGUCUCUCAGGCAGUUCCCUAAUCAAAGUCACUGGGCUACAGUAAUCCCUUAAGGAUUAAUGAACCAACAUGGUGCAACAUACAGAAC
rnacentral:lncRNA from 1 species